rnacentral:ncRNA from 1 species
UUGCUAAAGACAGGUAUUAUAUGUAAGUUUUGUUAUACUAGAUGUUCUUCAAUGCAGUAAUUUAAUUUUAUUAUCAGUAUUAUAUUGGAAUUAGUAAUUGAUUUAGUAUUGGCAUAUUUCGUGCCAGCAGCCGCGGUUAUACGAUUAAUGCAUGUAAAUACUUAUAGUUAAAGCUGAUAUUUUUAUUUAAGAAUUAAUUUUUGAAUAUUUUAGGUGAAAUUUUAUUUUUAUUAAUAAUUCCUUUUAAGAUUCUGUAAAACUUAAAAUAUAAACUAGGAUUMGAUACCCUAUUAUAUGAAGUGUAARUUUUAUUUACCUGGGUAGUAUUAGUUAUGUUCUUUAAACCCAAAGAAUUUGGCGGUAUCUUAUUCCAUUCAGAGGAACCUAUUCCGUAAUUGAUAAUGCACGAUUAACUUUACUUAAUUUAUUGGUUUGUAUAUCUCCGUUAUCAGAAUAUCUUUUUAGAGAUUUAAUUUUCUUAAUUUAUAAUUAUAAAAUAUUUCAGGUCAAGGUGCAGCUUAUAAUUAAGUUGAGGAUGGGUUACAAUAAAUUUUUGUUUAUAAUGGAUUUAAUGUUGAAAUUUACAUUAAUAAAGGUGGAUUUGAUGGUAAUUUAAUUUAUUUAAUUUAAUUGAUAUUGGCUCUAAGAUGUGUACACAUCGCCCGUCGCUCUCAUUAUUUAAAGAGGAAAAUUUUUAUUUUAAUUUAAAUGAGAUAAGUCGUAACAUAGUAGAUGUACUGGAAAGUGUAUCUAGAAAGAUAU